CAGCCGCCGCGGUAAUACGAAGGGUGCAAGCGUUGUCCGGAAUUACUGGGCGUAAAGCGUGCGUAGGCGGUUUGUUAAGUCUGUUGUGAAAUCCCCGGGCUCAACCUGGGAAUGGCAAUGGAUACUGGCAAGCUAGAGUGUGUCAGAGGAUGGUGGAAUUCCCGGUGUAGCGGUGAAAUGCGUAGAGAUGUGGAGGAACACCGAUGGCGAAGGCAGCCCCCUGGGCCAAUACUGACGCUCAUGCACGAAAGCGUGGGGAGCAAACAGGAUUAGAUACCCGUGUAGUCCCUGUCUCUUAUAC
rnacentral:rRNA from 1 species